UACGUAGGGGGCUAGCGUUGUCCGGAAUCAUUGGGCGUAAAGCGCGUGUAGGCGGUCCGGUAAGUCCGCUGUGAAAGUCGGGGGCUCAACCCUCGGAUGCCGGUGGAUACUGUCGGGCUUGAGUACGGAAGAGGCGAGUGGAAUUCCUGGUGUAGCGGUGAAAUGCGCAGAUAUCGGGAGGAACACCAAUUGCGAAGGCAGCUCGCUGGGACGUGACUGACGCUGAGACGCGAAAGCGUGGGGAGCAAACAGG
rnacentral:rRNA from 1 species